CAGAGUAUGCGGCCGCGGCUGGCAGGACCGAAAGGGGCCAGGCGAGGAAAGUCCGGGCUCCACAGGGCAGGAUGCCGGAUAACGUCCGGCGGAGGCGACUCCAGGGACAGUGCAACAGAGAUAUACCGCGUCAGCAAUGAGCCAUGUGCGGUCAUUGCUGACGUAAGGGUGGAAAGGCAGUGUAAGAGACUACCGCCCGGCUGGUAACAGCCGGGGCACAUGUAAACCCCAUCCGAAGCAAGACCGAAACGAAGCGUUUACGUGGCCCGCCAGCUUCAGGUAGGUCGCUUGAGGCUGCCGGCAACGGCAGUCGUAGAUAGAUGAUCAUCCAACGACAUAACCCGGCUUACCGUCCCGCUC
rnacentral:RNase_P_RNA from 1 species